AAGGACGAACCCAAGCGGUGGCGUUGCGACUUCAAGAGCAAAGUGAAAAACGUUGAAUUAAUCCAGUGGAUGAAGAAGCAUUACCCUUACGUGAACCCCGAGUUCUGGCUGCCGGUUUCCGUCACUGAAGCUAAAUGGAGUUUGAAAGACGAGGACACAUUUCAGUCGGGCUCAUCUGGCU